UUUAUAUCAAAGAGUCAUCUUAGUGUCCUGUCACACUUAAUGAAUAGCAUGAAAUUUAUCUCUUAUACCUUCAUCUCCCCUACAGAGAGAAAGUCUUCAGGUCAAGAAUGUUGAGAAUCUGGAACACAGCUCAAUGCCUGGUGCAUGCAUUUCUUCAUUUGGAAGACGUGGCAUAUGUGUACAAGAAAAGACAAGUUCAAGACCCAUGAGUUUGAGAGAGGAGAGCAUUCUGACCCACCUCAACUGCUAUUCUUCGAAAACCUACACACUCAUCUGAAGCUUUCUCCAGAUUAUCAACAAUCCACCCUAAGGACUCUCCCCUUCUCAAUCUCCAGAGCCAAACUUUCUUCUAAACUAAAGAUGCCAAGUUGGCCUUCCAGAACCCUCUCCUCCUUCCAGAGCUGAACCUGAGAAGCCAGUCUUUGCCACCGGCACGGGAGGACCCAGGCCUUCAGUCCUUCCACUUUGGCCCUCGCUGCCAACACAGGCUUCCAUGUCACAGAGCAAAGCACCGUUAUGAGCAGACCCCAGAGCCUUCAGAGGAAGGCGGCCGAGGCAGCUGCUCCCACGUGGUGUGAGUGAGCACUCUCCAGAAUGACUUUUCCCCGUCCUUUCCUGCCAGCGGCGGCUCUUUGGAGCAAGCGCCUCAAAACUCUUCAGGCCUCUACUCAUUACCCGCUUCCAAAGGCGCUUCCACACGUUUAGGUGUUUGUUACAGCGCCCCAUCAUCAGUGCCAAUUUCUGUCUUCAUCUGCUCGGGCUGCUGUAACAGUUCCUGAAGCCACCAGCCUGAGUGGCUGAAACAACAGACAUCUAGUUCUCACAGUUCUGAGGCCUGAAAGUCCGAGAUCAAACUGCUGGCUGAUUCUGUUCAGCGAGGACUCGCUGGCGGAUGGCUGCCUUCUCUCCGCAUCCUCGCGUGGCAGAGAAAGAUCUUGUGUCUCUUCCUCUUCUGUAAGGGUACCGACCCCUUCAUGAGGGCUCCCCUGUGAUGAUCUGGUCUAACCCUAGUAAAUCUUACCUCCCGUACUGGCACACAGAAUGGUGGAGGACACCAACAUUCAGCCCAUGGUGCACUGUGCCUGUGGGGCAGGGAUGGGAUUAGAAUGUUCCGCUCAGAUGAACUCAGAGGAUCAUCUGUCAGCAGGGCUCCUCACCCCCCAUGUCUCUUAGGUCUAGGAAGAUGUAAAGUACAAUAGCUCCAGCUUCCAACAUCGUGGAGUUUUGAGAGAUGGAGAGGGGGAAGGAUUCAUCCGUUCAUUCAAGUAAUCAGUCAAGUUAACAUUUACUGAGUCCUUUUGAACAGUGUUAGUUCUGGGAGCAGAGAUGAAUAUGCAAACACUAGUCUUUAAAGGAGCUCCCAGUGUAAUGGGGGAAAGACACAUAUAUAAACAAAUGACGGUGG
rnacentral:lncRNA from 1 species